rnacentral:rRNA from 1 species
UACGUAGGGAGCAAGCGUUAUCCGGAUUUAUUGGGUGUAAAGGGUGCGUAGACGGAUUUGCAAGUUGGCUGUGAUAUCCCGAGGCUUAACUUCGGAAUUGCAACCAAAACUACAAGUCUUGAGUACUGGAGGGGAUGCGGAAUUCCUAGUGUAGCGGUGAAAUGCGUAGAUAUUAGGAAGAACACCGGUGGCGAAGGCGGCAUUCUGGACAGUAACUGACGUUGAGGCACGAAAGUGUGGGGAGCAAACA